UGAUGAACUUUGUGAUCAAGAAAGCAGCUGAUGAGACCGAGACUAUUCUGGAAACAACCCCGGCUGGCAAAAGCGAUGGGGAAGGUGCACUUCGAGCAUUCAUUAAGGGCCAAAAGUUAAGGCGGCUAUCAAACCUUUUCGGUUGUCGUGACCCCGAGUAUGUAUCACCAGAACGGUCUAGGU